rnacentral:tRNA from 13 species
CCGUACCGGUCGCCCCCGCGGUCUUCAAAGCCG